rnacentral:rRNA from 1 species
UGGGGAAUAUUGGACAAUGGGCGCAAGCCUGAUCCAGCAAUGCCGCGUGAGUGAUGAAGGCCCUAGGGUUGUAAAGCUCUUUUACCCGGGAAGAUAAUGACUGUACCGGGAGAAUAAGCCCGGCUAACUCCGUGCCAGCAGCCGCGGUAAUACGGAGGGGGCUAGCGUUGUUCGGAAUUACUGGGCGUAAAGCGCACGUAGGCGGCUUUGUAAGUCAGAGGUGAAAAGCCCUGGGAGCUCAACUCCAGAACUGCCUUUGAGACUGCAUCGCUUGAAUCCAGGAGAGGUCAGUGGAAUUCCGAGUGUAGAGGUGAAAUUCGUAGAUAUUCGGAAGAACACCAGUGGCGAAGGCGGCUGACUGGACUGGUAUUGACGCCG